CCUACGGGUGGCUGCAGUGGGGAAUAUUGGACAAUGGGGGGAACCCUGAUCCAGCCAUGCCGCGUGUGUGAAGAAGGCCCUCGGGUUGUAAAGCACUUUCAGUGAGGAAGAACGCCUGGUGGUGAAUACCCAUCAGGAAAGACAUCACUCACAGAAGAAGCACCGGCUAACUCCGUGCCAGCAGCCGCGGUAAUACGGAGGGUGCGAGCGUUAAUCGGAAUUACUGGGCGUAAAGCGCGCGUAGGUGGCUUGAUAAGCCGGUUGUGAAAGCCCCGGGCUCAACCUGGGAACGGCAUCCGGAACUGUCAAGCUAGAGUGCAGGAGAGGAAGGUAGAAUUCCCGGUGUAGCGGUGAAAUGCGUAGAGAUCGGGAGGAAUACCAGUGGCGAAGGCGGCCUUCUGGACUGAAACUGACACUGAGGUGCGAAAGCGUGGGUAGCAAACAGGAUUAGAUACCCUUGUAGUC
rnacentral:rRNA from 1 species